GACAGAGGAUGCAAGCGUUAUCCGGAAUGAUUGGGCGUAAAGCGUCUGUAGGUGGCUUUUUAAGUCCGCCGUCAAAUCCCAGGGCUCAACCCUGGACGGGCGGUGGAAACUACCAAGCUGGAGUACGGUAGGGGCAGAGGGAAUUUCCGGUGUAGCGGUGAAAUGCGUAGAUAUCGGAAGGAACACCUGUGGCGAAAGCGGCUCACUGGACCAUUACUGACGCUGAUGCACGAAAGCUAGGGGAGCAAACAGG
rnacentral:rRNA from 1 species